AUAAUUACCAAUAAUCUAUUCUAUCAUAUUUCAAGAUCUCCUACAUGGCUCUCAAUUUUAAACAACAAUUAAAGCAAUUAAGACUGUCACGUUCGCAAGCCAUGUUUCAUUCUCUGUAAAACGUCCUCUCCCUCCUUGUCCAUAUGGUACUUUGCAGCAGUGACAUAAGGACAGCUUGGAAAAAGGAGGAGAGAAAACGAUAUUGCCUCUCAUCCUUAAUCUGUCGUUUACCGCGUGGUGUCUUAACUAACCAAGCUGACUCGCAAGGCUAUGCUUAAGUGGCAACCUAGUCAUAUCCGAGGAUGAUGAGAAGUGCUGCACCCAAUCAAGGAAGAAGUUUGUUUUCUUCUGACGAGACGCUUUCAUGCGUAUCAGCUCACGCUGUGAAUACGAUUAACACAGAAUAGUGUUCUGAGGGCAUUUCCAUGUAAAUCUCAAUGCUACUCCAGCAUAAGUGUAAUUGGCUUUCUUGUCAUGGAGACAUAUCAGAACACACCAUGUUAAAUUGAAACAAUUAAAGGCCUCAAAUGAUUUCUGUUGUUCUGUGACAAAUGCGUGACAGAUUUCUGCUAUUGUUUGCCAUGCUUUGCAUAAAGGUCUCGUGUUCAACAACUGUUUAAAUGGGCCGGCUCAGAUGACAGAUCACCUAAGAUUUAGAAGCUGUUUUACGUUAUUGCUGAGAAAAAUAUGAGAGGAAGCCAUAACAAAUGACAUGUUAUAAAAAAUAUCUAACAAUAAGGAGACGUGGUGAUUCUUGAAGCAGUAGAUUAACAUGGAUGUUGUAUUUAUAUUAUCACAGUUAAUAAAAUAGGGCCUAGGUUAUGUAGCUUGGAGUGCUAAUGCCAUUAUAAAACUGUAAGGCAAUUACUCUGUUAGCUCUAGCCUGAGGUAAUGAAUGCAUUUAGAAGCAUAGGGCCAUUAGAUGAAGGUACUUCAAAGAGCACAGGAAGAGAGAUUCAUUUAAAUACAUGGGUAAUUGCUUGACAUGAACACAUUUGUAAUAUUUUCUCCUUGUGGAUUACACAAAGAAUUGGAAAAGAAUGGGCUUAUGCUCAUUUUGGGAGGAAAGAAAAGAAUCCAAAGCAAUCAGCUUAAUAAUAAAACAAUAUUGAGUUUCCACUUUUAAUUUCAUAAUGAAUCUAAUUUGUUACAGAAGAGAGAAAUUGAGUGUGAUAUAAUGUGAUAUCCAGUCUAUUUGUCCAUUACUGCCAGAGGGCACAAAAUGGUAUUAUAAAUUGUCUUUUUUAUAUUAUGAAUAGAAAAUUGUUUUAUAACAAGAUCUUAAAAAGGAGGGUGAAUUCCAAAGUCUCUCUUCACUUAACGCGAUGCCCGCAAACCAAUCUCCUUUCUCAUCACUUGACUGCUCACACUUAUUACUUUCAUAUUCACCCUGGACUUUGCAUUGAAUUUUUAUAUCUCCACUCCUCCCACAGGGUCAGACUGUCAUCUACGAUGUUGUCUUAGAAUUACGAGAUGCGGAUUUUGCAAAGACACUGUGACUUUAUAAAAUUGAAACAGUGCAGCUAGAUUGACCGAUGUUGCCUGCGGAGAUAGUGAAAGUCAUGUGGAUAUUAGAGGGACCGAGUCUAAUUGAAACACUUCAUAUACUGAACCAGGGACUAGCUGUGAUGUUCCAUUUCUCCGCGUUGCCUUGGUCAAACAUCGAUAGCUACCACACAGUCUGUUCUUUAUUAAAUUGUCCGUUGGACGUUAAUGAUAUUGCUGUGUUGCAUGCUGGGAUUUAAUAGAUAAGGUCUUUAAAGGUUUUACAGUAUUAUUAAAACUCUGAGGUGGCCACCGCUUUACUACAAGCCGAGGGGUUUUGAACGCACUAAUCAGUCAUAUUAUUACACUUGACACAUCUGGAACGUCAGUCACCAAAAUAGUUACUGGCAGGGUGGCAAUUAGUGAAAACACACAGAUAGAUUUUAUCAAUAGGAAAUAGAAAUAGUAAAAGAAUCAAGGGAAAUGAGAAGAGUAAAAGAAUCAAAGAGUUUCUGCAGGGGAGGCAAAUAAAAAAAAAACUUGUGUACCUUAGUUUUCAUGCUCAGCUCUAUCAAUACGGCAGCCUAUUUAUGUGCCACACCAGUGUGUCUAAAACUGAUGUGGCUUUCAACUCCU